rnacentral:rRNA from 1 species
CUCCCCCCUCUUUUCACCCCCUUNCCNCAGGCCGGGGAGGUAGAGGGAUUUCUGAUUUAGGGGUAUAUCCGGGGAUUCCCGGGGGACCCCCGUGGCGUAAGCAGUUUACUGGCUCAUUUCUGCCACUCAUGCCAAAAAACGGUGGGAGCAACCGGGAAUAGAAUCCCCCGGUAGUCCCCGCCGUAACUAAUGAAUGCUAGCUGUUAUCGGUAUCGCCCCCGGUAGUAGCGAAGCUAACGCGUUAAGCAUCCCGCCUGUGGAGUACGAGCGCAAGCUUAAAACAUAAAGGAAUUGACGGGGACCCGCACAAGCGGUGGAGCGUGUUGUUUAAUUCGACGGUAAGCGAAGAACCUUACNCAGGCUUGACAUCCCGAGAAUUUCUCCGAAAGGAGAGAGUGCCGUAAGGAACUCGGUGACAGAUGUUGCAUGGCCGUUGUCAGCUCGUGUCGUGAGAUGUUUGGUUAAGUCCAUCAACGAGCGCAACCCUUAUAGUUAGUUGUAUUUUUCUAGCUAGACUGCCCCGGCAACGGGGAGGAAGGAGGGGAUGACUUCAGGUCGGUAUUGCUCUUACGUCUGGGGCUACAAACACGCUACAAUGGCCGGUACAAAGGGCUGCCAAGUCGCAAGACGGAGCAAACCCCAUCAAAGCCGGUCCCAGUUCAGAUUGCAGGCUGAAACUCGCCUGCAUGAAGCCGGAAUCGCUAGUAAUGGUAGGUCAGCACACUACCGUGAAUACGUUCCCGGGUCUUGUACACACCGCCCGUCAAACCAUGAAAGUCACCAAUACCUGACGUGCUAGCUUGUCUAGUCCUAAGGUAGGGGAGAUGAUUGGGGUUAAGUCGUAACAAGGUAA